UGGAAACUNUCUGACUUGAGUGCAGAAGGGGAGAGUGGAAUUCCAUGUGUAGCGGUGAAAUGCGUAGAUAUAUGGAGGAACACCAGUGGCGAAAGCGGCUCUCUGGUCUGUCACUGACGCUGAGGCUCGAAAGCGUGGGUAGCGAACAGGAUUAGAUACCCUGGUAGUCCACGCCGUAAACGAUGAGUGCUAGGUGUUAGGCCCUUUCCGGGGCUUAGUGCCGGAGCUAACGCAAUAAGCACUCCGCCUGGGGAGUACGACCGCAAGGUUGAAACUCAAAGGAAUUGACGGGGGCCCGCACAAGCGGUGGAGCAUGUGGUUUAAUUCGAAGCAACGCGAAGAACCUUACCAGGUCUUGACAUCCCGAUGCUAUUCUUAGAGAUAGGAAGUUACUUCGGUACAUCGGAGACAGGUGGUGCAUAGUUGUCGUCAGCUCGUGUCGUGAGAUGUUGGGUUAAGUCCCGCAACGAGCGCAACCCUUAUUGUUAGUUGCCAUCAUUAAGUUGGGCACUCUAGCGAGACUGCCGGUAAUAAACCGGAGGAAGGUGGGGAUGACGUCAAAUCAUCAUGCCCCUUAUGACCUGGGCUACACACGUGCUACAAUGGUCGGUACAACGAGUUGCGAGCCGGUGACGGCAAGCUAAUCUCUGAAAGCCGAUCUCAGUUCGGAUUGGAGGCUGCAACUCGCCUCCAUGAAGUCGGAAUCGCUAGUAAUCGCGGAUCAGCACGCCGCGGUGAAUACGUUCCCGGGCCUUGUACACACCGCCCGUCACACCACGAGAGUUUGUAACACCCGAAGUCGGUGAGGUANCCUUUUAGGGGCCA
rnacentral:rRNA from 1 species